UACAUGGGGUGCAAACGUUGCUCGGAAUUAUUGGGCGUAAAGCGCGCGUAGGCGGUUACUUAAGUCGGAUGUGAAAGCCCUCGGCUUAACUGAGGAAGUGCACCCGAAACUGAGUAGCUAGAGUACGAAAGAGGGUCGCGGAAUUCCCGGUGUAGAGGUGAAAUUCGUAGAUAUCGGAAGGAACACCAGUGGCGAAGGCGGCUACCUGGACUGACACUGACGCUGAGGCGCGAGAGCGUGGGGAGCAAACAGG
rnacentral:rRNA from 1 species